rnacentral:tRNA from 1 species
AAGGGUAUAGCUCAGCGGUAGAGUGUUUGCAUGAGGUCCUGGGUUCAAUCCCCAGUACCUCUG